CAUAUGCUUGUCUCAAAGAUUAAGCCAUGCAUGUCUAAGUAUAAACAAAUUUAUACUGUGAAACUGCGUACAGCUCAUUAUAUCAGCAAUAAUUUAUUUGAUGGUACCUUUACUACAUGGAUACCCGUAGUAAUUCUAGAGCUAAUACAUGCAUAAUAUUCCGACUUUUACGGGAAGGAAUGUAUUUAUUAGAUACAAAACCAAUGCGGUCUUCGGGCCGGUCUUUUGGUGAGUCAUAAUAACUGUUCGGAUCGCAUGGCCUUGUGCUGGCGACAUUUCAUUCAAAUUUCUGCCCUAUCAGCUUUCGAUGGCAAUGUAGUGGAUUGCCAUGGCGUUAACGGGUAACGGAGAAUUAGGGUUUGAUUCCGGAGAGGGAGCCUUAGAAACGGCUACCACAUCCAAGGAAGGCAGCAGGCGCGCAAAUUACCCAAUGCUGACACAGCGAGGUAGUGACAAGAAAUAACAAUACCGGGCCUUUUCAGGUCUGGUAAUUGGAAUGAGAUAAAUUUAAAUCCCUAAACGAGGAUCCACUGGAGGGCAAGUCUGGUGCCAGCAGCCGCGGUAAUACCAGCUCCAAUAGCGUAUACUAAUGUUGUUGCAGUUAGAAAGCUCGUAGUUGGAUUUCUGAUUAACCGUUCUGGCCCGCAGAUUUCGAUUUGUGAGUGCCGGAAUGUUGUUUUUCAUCCUUUCAGAGAGCUAGUGUCUACUCUUUACUGAGCAGGACGCUGUAAUCUGGAUCAUUUACUUUGAAAAAAUUAGAGUGUUCAAGGCAGGCUUUUGCUAUGAAUACAUGAGCAUGGAAUAAUAAUAUAGGACUUUGGUUCUAUUUUGUUGGUUUCUAGGACUGAAGUAAUGAUUGAUAGGGAUAGUUGGGGGUGCUAGUAUUGUUAGGCCAGAGGUGAAAUUCUUGGAUUCUAGCAAGACUAACUACUGCGAAAGCAUUCACCAAGGAUGUCUUCUUUAAUCAAGAACGAAAGUCGAGGGAUCGAAGACGAUCAGAUACCGUCGUAGUCUCAACCAUAAACUCUACCGACUAAGGAUCCGCGGACGUCUAAUCUUCACUCCAUUCGCACUGUAUGAGAAAUCAAAGUUUUUGGGUUUUGGGGGGAGUAUGGUUGCAAGGCUGAAACUUAAAGGAAUUGACGGAAGGGCACCACCAGGAGUGGAGCCUGCGGCUUAAUUUGACUCAACACGGGAAAACUUACUCGGUCCAGACAUAGUAAGGAUUGACAGACUGCAGAUCCUUCUUGAUUCUAUGGGUGGUGGUGC
rnacentral:rRNA from 1 species